rnacentral:rRNA from 1 species
ACGCGAGUGGAUGCCAAUCCCCAAAACCUCUCUCAGUUCGGACUGGAGUCUGCAACCCGACUCCACGAAGCUGGAUUCGCUAGUAAUCGCGCAUCAGCCACGGCGCGGUGAAUACGUUCCCGGGCCUUGUACACACCGCCCGUCAAGCCAUGGGAGCCGGGGGUACCUGAAGUGCGUAACCGCGAGGAGCGCCCUAGGGUAAAACUGGUGACUGGGGCUAAGUCGUAACAAGGUACC